UACGAAGGAUGCGAGCGUUAUCCGGAUUUAUUGGGUUUAAAGGGUGCGUAGGCGGCUUUUUAAGUCAGGGGUGAAAGACGGUGGCUCAACCAUCGCAGUGCCUUUGAUACUGAAGAGCUUGAUUAAACUUGAGGUAGGCGGAAUGUGACAAGUAGCGGUGAAAUGCAUAGAUAUGUCACAGAACACCGAUUGCGAAGGCAGCUUACUAAGGUUUCAAUGACGCUGAGGCACGAAAGCGUGGGGAUCAAACAGG
rnacentral:rRNA from 1 species